ensembl:lncRNA
CUUUAUUCUAGUCUCCUCCAUCAGUCUCGCCCUCUCUUCUAGUUUCCUCCAUCAGGCUCCUCCACUCUUCUGGUCUCCUCCACCAGUCUCCUCCUCUCUUCUAGUCUCCUUCAUCAGUCUCCUCCUCUCCUCUCUUCUAGUCUCCUCCAUCAGUAUCCUCCUCUCCUCUCUUCUAGUCUCCUCCAUCAGUCUCCUCCUCUCCUCUCUUCUAGUCUCAUCCAUCAGGCUCCUCCUCUCCUUUAUUCUAGUCUCCUCCAUCAAUCUCCUCCUCUCCUCUCUUCUAGUCUCCUCCAUCAGUAUCCUCCUCUCCUCUCUUCUAGUCUCCUCCAUCAGUCUCCUCCUCUCCUCUCUUCUAGUCUCAUCCAUCAGGCUCCUCCUCUCCUUUAUUCUAGUCUCCUCCAUCAAUCUCCUACUCUCCUCUCUUCUAGUCUCCUCCAUCAGGCUCCUUCUCUUCUGUCUUCUAGUCUCCUUAAUCAGUCUCCUCUCCUUUAUUCUGGUCUCGUCCAUCAGGCUCCUCCUCUCCUUUAUUCUAGUCUCCUCCAUCAGUCUCCUCCUCUCCUCUCUUCUAGUCUCAUCCAUCAGGCUCCUCCUCUCCUUUAUUCUAGUCUCCUCCAUCAAUCUCCUACUCUCCUCUCUUCUAGUCUCCUCCAUCAGGCUCCUUCUCUUCUGUCUUCUAGUCUCCUUAAUCAGUCUCCUCUCCUUUAUUCUAGUCUCCUCCAUCAGGCUCCUCCUCUCCUUUAUUCUAGUCUCCUCCAUCAGUCUUCUCCUCUCCUUUAUUCUAGUCUCCUACAUCAGUCUCCUCCUCUCCUUUAUUCUAGUCUCCUCCAUCAGGCUCCUCCUCUCCUUUAUUCUAGUCUCCUACAUCAGUCUCCUCCUCUCCUUUAUUCAAGUGUCCUCCAUCAGUCUCAUCCUCUCCUCUCUUCUAGUCUCCUCCAUCAGUAUCCUCCUCUCCUCUCUUCUAGUCUCCUCCAUCAGUAUCCUCCUCUCCUCUCUUCUAGUCUCCUCCAUCAAUCUCCUCCUCUGCUCUCUUCUAUUCUCCUCCAUCAGGCUCCUUCUCUUCUGUCUUCUAGUCUCCUCCAUCAGGCUCCUCCAUUCUUCUAGUCUCCUUCAUCAUACUCCUCCUCUCCUUUAUUCUAGUCUCCUACAUCACUCUCCUCCUCUCCUUUAUUCUAGUCUCCUCCAUCAGUCUCCUCCUCUCCU